ACUGACUUUGAGUCUCUCCUUAGGGUGCUGCAGGCAAAGCUGGGGACCCAGGGAGAGAUGUAAGUAAGGGGAAUUG
ensembl:miRNA MIR711 microRNA 711